rnacentral:rRNA from 1 species
AACGAACGCUGGCGGCAGGCUUAACACAUGCAAGUCGGGCGCCCCGCAAGGGGAGCGGCAGACGGGUGAGUAACGCGUGGGAAUCUACCCAUCUCUACGGAAUAACGCAUGGAAACGUGUGCUAAUACCGUAUACGUCCUUCGGGAGAAAGAUUUAUCGGAGAUGGAUGAGCCCGCGUUGGAUUAGCUAGUUGGUGGGGUAAAGGCCUACCAAGGCGACGAUCCAUAGCUGGUCUGAGAGGAUGAUCAGCCACACUGGGACUGAGACACGGCCCAGACUCCUACGGGAGGCAGCAGUGGGGAAUAUUGGACAAUGGGCGCAAGCCUGAUCCAGCCAUGCCGCGUGAGUGAUGAAGGCCCUAGGGUUGUAAAGCUCUUUCACCGGUGAAGAUAAUGACGGUAGCCGGAGAAGAAGCCCCGGCUAACUUCGUGCCAGCCGCCGCAGUAAGAC